rnacentral:tRNA from 1 species
AUUUUUAUAGUUGAAAACAACAGUGAUUUUUCGUAUCACAGGUCUUGGUUUGAUUAGUCCAGGUAAAAAUA